rnacentral:lncRNA from 1 species
UCAUCUCGACUAAAAAACUAGUCGAGGACGGACUACUUCGACUACUCGUUUCGACUAGAAAACUAGUCGCGGACGGUCUACUUUGACUACUCAUCUCGACUAGAAAACUAGUCGAGGGCGGCUUCCACGUGAUCAAACAACUAGUCGGAAUCGACCCCGACUAGUUGGCUUCAUCAACAACAGUUGCGGCUUCACGACAAUCAUCCACGAAUCAAGCUAAGUCACUUUUUUUUAAUUAUUUUCCGGCUUGUUUUCCACAUGCAGGGCAACGCGCCAACUACCUAUCUGUGUAUGCCUCUCAACAGGAAUUACCCUCCAGACCUACACUUUGUCAACUAUUCCUAGGGCAUGUUGACCGACAGCCACGGGCUUGGUACAUCGAAUUAUGGAGGCCAUGGCCACAGGUUUGGUGCAUUGAGUUUUGGAAGCUCCGCUGCAGGUUUGGUACAUUGAAUUAUGGAGGCAAUGGCCACAUAUUUGAUGCACUGAAUACUAGAGGCUCACAACGGCUGCACUCUAAGGAGGCACAAAUCCUAUGCGUUCUACUCGCCGAAGGGCAGAAAACUCUUACGCGCAGUCACAAUAGUCUUUUUGUCGCAGUGUCGACUACUUAUUUUUAUUGUCUUCUCUUAGCGGUGACUAAUCUACUCAAGCAGAACACACCUCAAUUCAUGAUAGACUUGGAUCUUCUAUCGUGCCUAAACGCUAGGACGUGAGAUAGAGGUCUCCGUAGCAGCAGUGCCAGUAUGCGUACACGAGACAAAGAUCUCAUACAUGCAAUGGCAAUAGCUAAACAGGGACUGAGAGUCUAAAUGCAACAGGCUAACUACUCAGGAGAAAUAUGGCCGAAACAAGAGCAUGACACAACAUUUACAUUAUAUUCAUCACUGAAUAAAUUUCAGUAGUUCCAAAUUCUACAAAUAUGCUGCAUAAUGUAUGCAUUUCCUUUUUCAAGUCAAGUUUCAGCAACGACUCUCUAGGAAGCUCAUCGUACCUAUAAUGGCUCCACUAGCUCCCAGGCCCGGAGGCUAAGCGCCAAUUACUACUCGGAAUAUCACCAGUGGCUCAGCUAGCUUCCAAGCUCCGAGGCUAAAGCGCCAAUUACUACUCGGAAUACCUCCAGUAGCUCUGCUAGCUCUCAAACUCGGGGACUAAGCAUCAAUAACUACUCGACAUGGCUUCUACGGCUCACCUGGCGCAUAAGCUCGAGGGACGGAAGCUGCAAAACUACUUGGAUGAUGACUGGCAUGAAGACUAAAGCUCGCUAGACCCUCGGAUUGAUUAAAUUAGUCAUUCAAAGGCUCGGGGGCUGAUAAGCUACACCCAACAGUUGAUUUUUACAAGAUGAAAGAAGAAGAUUCAAGAUUUUAUUGACCCUCAGCCUUAUUCUUCGAUUCAACCUAAGGCCCGGGGGUUAUUCCAUAUGGAGUGCGACUUCCGCCACCCUCCAUAUCACAUUCCAAAGAUGAAGAUUAUAAAUUAAGAUGAUCAAGGGCUUGAGCACACCAUAGCCUCAUGGCAGCUUUGAGGAACUUUGAAGAUUCAGCCAGACAAAAACUACUCGGCGAGGAUCUAAAAAGUACUCAAAGAAUGCUGCAUUUGACUAUGAAGCGCUCGAGGGUUUGUUAGGGAUAGAUUCUCAGUACGCGCAAGGAAGGAAGUAGACGGACUCCUGCUAGGAUUCCUCUGUAAUCCUACUAGGACUUAUACCAUGUAAUCCUACUAGGACUUUUCCUUGUAACCGACUAGUAAUCCCACCCCUUGAGUAUAUAAAGGAGGGUAGGGGUACCUAGUGUCGGGCAUGCACCCCAGGCCCACGAGUAGGCCCUAGACGGCCCACCAAGGGAUGUACUCGGACACGAUCAAGACAAGGGGGCUACGCAGCAAUAGGCGUAUCCCACUCGGACUAGUUAAGUUUGCAUAAGGAAACUACUCGGACCACACCGAGUAGAACUUUGUAAUUGUACUCGACUAGGAUUUAGACUUGUAACCCUGCCCUCCCGAGUAUAUAAGGGCGGGUAGGGACCCCCUCAAACAACAACUCCCGUUCAUCUAAGAUCAAUACAACCAAACUCACAGGACGUAGGGUAUUACGCGAUCUAGCGGCCCGAACCUGUCUAAAUCAUGUUCCUUGCGUCACCAUCGACUCCUUGAUUCUCGAUGGCCCUUACCGCAUAAAAGACCACCUAGGGUACUCCCUAGGCAGGUUGACGGUCUAAAACACCGACAGCUGGCGCGCCAGGUAGGGGAACUCGUCGAGUUUCUCAGCGUGAGCUCAAUGGCACCUGUCGUCAUCAAGCCUGUCUUCAUCAUCGAAGCAGGUGCGACUUUCUUUUUUGGAUCUUGGCUCUGCAUCGCCGACGGCGCCGGAUCGUUUUGACGCGAAAUCAUCAACAUCCAGGAGAAGAAAUCGGAAGAUUCGGUCAGGAAAAACCAAAAUUUCAAAGUCAACAACCCCAAGUUCGACUACGCGUUGGACUCGACCCCAGUUCGGACUAGUCGGUCCCAGUCACUUCUCAAAUCAACUUUGAAUCAGAAACGGUUCCCAUACGGACUCCGCAAUGCAGCCGAAGUCUACCAAAGUUCCCUCACCCAAACUCAACUCGAACAUGGGAAAGACGAAGACGAUGACUCCGACUCGGACUACAUCCCAGAGAUCUCACUGACAAGACCAGCCCAAGGACUGGUAAUAACUUCAACAUCGCAAGGCAGAUUCGUCCACUGGCCAGGAAUGAGACCAUCCCUCCUCGCCCGCGACUACAAGUCACGCCUUAUCGCUCAUAUAGACAACCUCCCAUACCAGGAAGGCCUCCCACUCACUUCAAGCCGCGAGGAAAGUUCCACAGAAAUUGCAACAUCAAGCUCUGGAAGCUACUACCCAGACAUAGAAGUCUUUGUUAUUACUCAAUAUAACAACCCGAGUACUAGCCAACAGAGAACCCCCCAGCGACUAGCACAACUCGACAAUGUCUCAGAAGAUGAGUCAACAGCUAACGCCCCACAAGAUGAAACUUUCGACCAAAGGAACCAAAGAAGGAUGCACAAUACUACUCGGGCUGAACGACGACAAAUGCUGGCUACAAACAUUCCCAUCACAAACCUUGAAAGAGCAUUUGACGCAGUACAGGCUCAAGAAUACAACACUCCACUCGCAGCAAUUGCCUUGAUCAACCUUAUAUCAACGCUCAUACCUCAAGACAGAGACAACGAAGUCACAUCUCAACUCGCACAGCGAGGAAAAGGACUAAUUGGACAACUCAUAGAACAAGCUUACAAGCUACUCGAUAAAGAAUCUCCAAUCCCGUCUGUUCCCCGCAAUACGGCUCAUCAAGAGGGCAGUAGAGGUGCUGCAGUUAACAACAACUUCAAUGAAGUACAAAGGAAUGACAAUGAAGUACUAAACCAACCAAGGCAACACAGCCAAGGUCGAAGUAAACACAACGCUCCAGCACGACAAAAAGACAUUGGAGAAGUCAGCUGCACCAACUCCGCAAAAAGUCCUCGCCAUACUCAAAAAAAUCAUGAAGUAUCAAAUUUCAGCGAUCUACAAGAAAUAAUCAACAGUCGGCGUGAGGGAGAAGUUGACAAUUACAACCACUAAGUCCUGCUUUCACAAAUCGGGUAAUAAGGACAAGAUUACCCGAAAAGUUCAAACCAACAGGAAUCAUUAAGUAUGAUGGCAAGCAAGACCGAAUUCAAUGGCUAUGAUGCUACUCGUUGGCAGUCCAGGCAGCUGGGGGCAACAACGACACCAAAGUUAUCCAUUUUCCCAUAUGCAUGGAACCCGCACCUUUGACGUGGCUUGAGUCACUCAAGCCUAGAUCAAUUGACUCUUGGGCAGACUUGACAAAGGCUUUCACCAACAACUAUGCCGGCUCCAUGGCUAGACUGGGAACAAGAUUGACCUAAGUCAAGUAAAACAGAAAGAAGGUGAAACAUUACGCGACUACUUGCGACGAUUCUUCGAAAAGAAGGCUACUAUAGUUGACAUUUCAGAAACAGACGUCAUCGAGUGCUUCCAGAAUGGACUCUAUGAUCGAUGAACAUACCAAGACUUUGGCAGACAACGACCAACCAAUGUCAAAGACCUCAAAAUCAUGGUACAACAGUGGGCGGAUGAAGAAGACAAAGAGCGAGAACGGUUCGGCUCUCAUCGUAACCGAGGAUGCGACAACAACAACAAUGACCAGGAAAGAAACCGACACAGCGAUACUCGAAACAACUUCUCGGGUAAUCAAAAUCGUAAAAGGAAACAUGACAACACCAUUGCUUCCAUGACUAACUCUAGGAAAAAGGGAUCCCGCAAAAAUGAUGAAGGGCCAACCUUCACCGAACUACUAAAAAAACAGUGCCCAUGGCACCCGACUAGCAAACACUCAGCAAUAGACUGCUACAGCAUGCGCAGAGUAAUGUAAGACUUACCCGCACCACCACCUCCCGAAGAGUACAACAAGAAAAAAGAUAAGGGCAAGAACAAAGUCCACAACGACGAAGAAGAAGAAGGCGACUUCCAGACUGCCUCCAAGACAGUCAACGUCAUUUUUGGCGGAAUCCCAAGCACCGCAUCCAAGCGGGCCAAGAAACUCGUACUCAGGGAAAUCAUGGCCAUCGAGCCAACAGAUCCAACAUGCUAAAAUGGUCAGAAGUACCCAUAACUUUGAGCAGAAAGGACCAAUGGACAAAAUUCUCAGAGCCAGGCUGAUUCCCUCUAGUACUUGACCCCGUCGUGGUAGGAUCAAAGCUGACAAAGGUACUCAUUGAUGGCGGAAGUGGACUCAACGUCAUUUUUACCAAAACACUAAGAAAGAUGUGCCUCGAUGUCACGGAAAUGCUCACUCCAACAGAUUCACCCUUCUACGAAAUCGUACUAGGAAACGCAGCUAUUCCACUAGGACAAGUCAUCCUACCAGUUACUUUUGGAACUAAGGAACACUACCAAACCGAGUACAUCAGAUUUGAAGUCGCCGACUUCGAGACAUCUUACCACGCCAUACUCGAAAGGCCAGCACUAGCUAAAUUCAUGGCCAUACCACACUACAUUUACUUGGUACUCAAAAUGCCAGGGCCCAAGGGAGAACUAACGCUGCGAGGCCGUGGAGAUUGCCGCAACCUCUCAAGCACCCAGCCCUAUGCAACAAGUUUUCACAGCUUCAAAGAAACUUCACCCAACUGAAGUCAAGAUCCCAGAAAACAAGUCGGGAUCCACAAAGGUGAAACCAGCAAGCGAGAGGGACUUCAAGCUAGUAGAUCUCCAUACGGGUGACUCUUCUAGGACAACUCUGAUCGGAACAGGGCUAGAUCCUAAAUAGGAAACCGCGCACAUCAAUUUUCUUCGGGCUAACCAUGAUAUCUUUGCUUGGAAACCAUCUGAAAUGCCUGGUGUGCCCAAGGAACUGAUUGAGCACUCUCUAAAUGUUGAUCCCAAAGCUACACCAAAAUGACAGUGACUUCGCAAGUUCGCCCAAGAUAGACGAGAAGCAAUAAAAAAAGAACUAGCCAAACUACUCGCAGUAGGGUUCAUCAAAGAAGUCUUUCACCCUGACUGGCUAGCCAAUCCUGUACUCGUUCGUAAGAAAAACAAUGAAUGAAGAAUGUGCGUCGAUUACACGGAUCUCAACAAACACUAUCCAAAAGACCCUUUUGGAUUACCCAGGAUCGACCAAGUAGUCGACUCUAUUGCUGGGUGCGAUUUGCUAUGCUUUCUUGACUGCUACUCGGGCUACCAUCAGAUAAGCCUUAAAGAAGAAGAUCAAGCUAAAACAACCUUCAUCACUCCAUUUGGGGCCUUCUGCUACAAAACAAUGUCAUUUGGACUAAAAAAUGCAGGGGCAACUUAUCAACGAGCUAUACAGAUGUGCUUCGAAAAGCAAUUACAUCAUAAUGUUGAAGCUUACGUGGACGACGUAGUCAUCAAAAUAAGAAACUAGGAGGACCUAAUCACCAACUUGGAGGAAACCUUCUCAAGCUUGCGAGCUUUCCGAUGGAAACUCAAUCCUACCAAAUGCAUCUUUGGAGUACAUUCUAGCAAACUACUCGGGUUCAUCAUUAGCCAUCGCGGCAUUGAGGCCAACCCAGAGAAAGUAUCUGCCAUCACAAACAUGCACGCACCAGCUAGCAUCAAGGAUGUGCAGAAACUCACAGGCUGCAUGGCAACCCUCAAUCGAUUUAUCUCGAGACUUGGAGAACGAGGACUACCCUUCUUCAAGCUUCUCAAAUGACAGGACAAGUUCAAAUGGACAGAAGAGGCAGACGAGGCAUUAACACAACUCAAAGACUUCCUGUCAAAACCUCCAAUCCUCACUGCUCCAUCCCCAAACGAGGACUUGCUCCUAUACAUAGCAGCUACUACUCACAUCAUCAGCACGGCAAUAGUAGUCGAAUGGUCUAAGCCAGGCCAUGUUUACAAAGUCCAAAGACCUAUAUACUUCAUUAGUGAAGUACUCUCGGACUCCAAAACUCGGUACUCGCCGAUACAAAAACUCCUAUAUGCAAUUCUGCUCACUUCACGAAAGCUGCGACAUUAUUUUCAAGAGCACCACUGUAUCCUAUAUGCAAUUCUACUCACUUCACGAAAGCUGCGACAUUAUUUUCAAGAGCACCACAUCACAGUCAUCACUGAUUUCCCGCUCGGUGAAAUUCUCCACAAUAGAGACGCCAUGGGUAGAAUCUCCAAAUGGGCAGUUCAACUCAGAGCUUUAACCUUGAACUUUAAACCAAGGACAGCUAUCAAAUCUCAAGCUUUGGUCGACUUCAUGGCUGAAUGGAUUGAAAACCAAGUGCCAACACCAGUCGAGAGGCCAGAGCACUGGGUAAUGUAUUUCAACGGUUCCCUCAAACUCGAAGGAGCCAGUGCAAGCAUACUUCUCAUCUUCCCAAAGGGAGACCAACUCAAGUACGUACUACAAAUCUUCUGGGAAGUCUCAAACAAUGAAGCCGAGUACGAAGCACUGCUACACGACCUUCAUCUUGCAAUCUUCCUCGGAAUCAAUAGACUAAUAGUAUACGACGACUCACUAGUGGUUAUAAACCAAGUCAAUGAUGAAUGGGAUUGAAACAAGGACAACAUGGACGCCUACUGCAAAAGAAGUUCGCAAACUGGAAAAUAAGUUUUUAGGCUUGGAAUUCCAUCAUAUCGUCCGCGACAACAACGUAGCCGCCGACGUAUUAUCAACAAUGGGCUCAACUCAUGCAGAAGUUCCAGCAGGAAUUUUCAUACACGAACUCCAUAAACAAUCCAUACCAGAACAAGUCACACCACUGGUGAUCAAGACUACAGAAGUUACUCGAGAAAUCAUGAUGAUAGAAGUCGACUGAAGGACACCCUUCAUCGACUACAUCAAAGAUCAUAAGUUACCAUCCGACAAUAAUCAAGCCGAGCAAAUUUCCCGACGAGGAAAAAACUACAUUUUAGUCGGAGACAAGCUCUACAUGAAAAGUGCAUCAUCAGGGGUACUCAUGAAGUGUGUUACCCGUGAAGAUGGCCAAGAAAUCCUAAAAGAAAAUUCACAAAGGAAUUUGUGGCAACCAUGCAUCCUCACGAAUGAUAGUAGGCAAGGCUUUACAAGCAGGUUUCUACUGGCCCAUGGCCUUGGCAGAUGCGAAACAAUUAGUUUGAAAAUGCCAAGGCUGCCAAUUCUUCACUAAACAACAACAUGUACCUGCCUACAAGCUAGUCACAAUACCUCCAACAUGGCCUUUCACUUGCUUGGGGCUGGACAUGAUAGGACCAUUGCCAACCGCGCCAGGAGGAUUCUACCAAGUACUCGUGGCCAUUGACAAAUUCACCAGAUGGAUCAAGGUCAAACCAGUCACUUGCCCCAAGGCAGACCGAGUCCUCGACUUCUUGGAUGAAAUUGUACACCGUUACGGCUUUCCAAACAGAAUCAUCACAGACCUGGGGUCCAACUUCAACAAUCAUGACUUCUGGGAGUACUGCGAGAAUAGUGGAAUUGACGUCUGCUACAUCUCGGUUGCUCACCCACUAGCCAAUGGACAAGUCGAGCGCGCCAAUGGCAUGAUACUCAAAGCUCUCAAGAAAAGACUACACGACGUCGGCAAUACAAAAGGAGGCAAAUGGCUCAAGAAAUUACCUAAUGCUCUAUGGGGACUAUGAACCCAACCAUGCAAGACUACUGGGCUCUCCCCCUAUUUCCUAGUAUACGGAUCAGAAGCUAUACUACCUGCGGACGUCAUGUGGCAAUCCCCUUCAGUCGAACAAUAUGAUGAAGAAAUGGCAGAAGAAACGAGACGCACGGAUCUGGACAGCCUAGAAGAAACAAGAUGCGCAGCAUUAGUCCAAUCAGCCAGAUACCUUGACGGGUUAAGACGAUACCACGACCGCAAUGUCAAGGAACGAUCUUUCAACUUAGGCGACAUGGUACUCAAAUGAAUUCAAGACACGACUGUCGGUGUUUUAGAUCAGCAACCCGCCUAGGGGAUACCCUAGGUGGUCUUUUGUGCGGUAAGGACCGUCGAGAAUCAAGGAAUCAAUGGUGACGCAAGGAACACGAUUUAGACAAGUUCGUGCCGCUAGAUCGCGUAAUACCCUACGUCCUGUAUGUUGGUUUGUAUUGAUCUUGGAUGAAUUGGAGUUGUUCAUGUUUGAGGGGGGGGGGUCCCUACCUGCCCUUAUAUGCUCGGGAAGGUAGGGUUACAAGUCUGAGUCCUAGUCGAGUACUAUUAUAGAGUUCUACUCGGUAUGGCCCAAGUAGUUUUCCAUACACAUACUUGACUAGUCUGAGUGGGAUACACCUAUCCUUUGUCUUGAUUGAAUCCGAGUACGCCCCUUAGUGGGUCGUCCAAGGUCUACUCGUGGGCCUGGGAUGCAUGCCCGACAAGCCCCAGAGUACUUUGUAGUCGUGCGCCACAGUCUUGGGUACUGCGGGCACUAUCCGAGUAGUUCGUCAUACAGGUUGUGGACUGAAGUGCUGGAGUACUGUCGCGUGGCUGGAAGGUACUCUUCUUGUUCGUUCGAGUUGUUUCUGUUCUAAGAAUUUUUAUAUGGUAGUGCGAUGUCAAUCGCACUCCAUAUGGAGUAGCCCCCGAGCCUUAGGUUGAGUCGAAGAGUCAGGCUUAGGGUCAAUCCUUCCCAUUUGCCUGUUCUUCCCUUGGAGAUCUCGAAAAAAGAAAAAACUGACCAUCGGGUACGGUACACGCAGCCCCCGAGCACUUAGGCGAUCUCCAAGUGGUCAGCAAUCUGUUGAAAAGAGUAGCCGUUGGGAGUUUUAAGGCAAUUAAUCCGCUUAAAAUCCGUCCGUUGCGUAACUGACGCUUGGAAUCCGGAGGUGGCGGAGAUAAAACUGGAGGACCCCCUUUCGGUUAGGUCUACACCCUGCUGUAAUUAGAUCUGUUUUUCUUCCUUCCCUGCGCCUCUGCUCCGUGUUUGCGCCGUCGCAAUUGCCAAGUGCCACCGCCACCAUUGCUCCCCCUUGAGAGAGAUUCUAGAGUGAGUGCCUUUUGUUGAGGUUGAAAUCGGAUGCGCACCAAGAAGAUGGGAAAGAAGCCCAAGAAGAUCCAGGGCAAGGCUCCAGCGGCGGGCAAGGUGAAAUCCAAGAAGGGGAAGGAGCUGGUGCUGCCGGUGCCGAAGGUGGGGCUGACGAAUCAAACUGCGUCGCACCCGCCUGGAGUGAUGUGGCAGCAUUCGGUGAUGAAGGAGGAGGCCGUGCAAGUGCUAGUCGAUGCCAAGCUUCUGCAGAUGAAGGAAAUACUCGAGGGGUGCCUAGCUUUUCGAAAUACGUGGCAAUUUGAGGAACAUCCAGGCGAGACCGUGAUGCUCACACAUGUGGAGAAGGGGUUGGUAGUGCCCACCUCCGACUUCUUCAGAGGUAUCCUCGAGUACUAUAAGCUUCAACUUGUCCAUUUGAACCCCAAUGGUGUACUACAUAUGUCCAUUUUCGUACACCUCUACGAAGUUUAUUUGGUAGUUCCUCCAAGCCUCGAGUUGUUUAGGAAGUUGUUCCGUUGUAAGCCUCAGCCAAGUGCCCAAAGGACAGAAGUCUUUGGAUGCGCCGGGUUCCAACUCAGGAACUCAGGCGCAUAUAUUGAGUAUAACUUGACUGACUCCCAUGGGGAGUGGAAGAAAAGGUGGUUCUACAUCGGGAACCAUGACCCUCGGUUGCCUGUGGUGACUGGCCACGUGCCGAAGCAUGCAGAAAACUUGGUGAGCGAACCCGAAGACACCUCGGAGCUAAACCACUUGAUGCAGCAGAUUACCGAGUUGAAGGCACUCAGUCUUACUGGGAUUAACGUGGCGGCCAGUUUUCUGAAGAGAAGAGUCCAGCCGCUUCAGAAACAUGCUCACUCGAGGAGUGAGUACACGGGUCUUAAUGAUCUAUCGCGUAUGUCCGAUGAGGAUAUAUCUGAUGAUGAUGUAGAGGCGCUGCAGGCCAAGUUCUUUAGGAACUACUAGGGAGUACCAGUGAUCCCUGCAGCUCUUCGGCAGUAUGAUGCCUGGUAUGAGCCAGAAGUGGUAUGUUCUGGCCCUUGACUUGUACUUUUUGACUUGUGUGAUAUUUGUUGUUAAUAUCGACUUGUUUGUGUAGUCUCGAGUUCUUGCCGGCUACUUGGUGCAGUCAGAAGAAGAAACUGUUGUUGAUGAGUCGGAGGACGAGCCCUCCCCUCCUGUGAAGAAACGCAGAGUAAUCCGCAAAAUGUCUGCGGCAAAGUUUGCUUCAACUCCUGAGAAGUCUCAGGUUACGAAGGUAUGUAGUCGUGUACUCAAUUGUUGUUGAUGAAUUUGAACUUGCAAUCAUUGUGACUACUUUGUCUUGUUCAAAAAGGUUGUUGAUACAACACUUGGUGAUGGUGAGGCUGCUUCUAAAGAAGUAGUCGUGACCGACCCGGAUGUCGGUAAUUUAUCUGUUGAUAUGGUGCCGGAGAGGAUGUCAUCAACGGAAGCUGGAGUAGCCCCCGAGCUAACCGCACAGGCUUCGUCGACUACCACGCUGCCAGUUACUGACCAGGCAGUCCUGGGGUUGCCCGCCGGAGUAGCGGGUGUUGCAAAGGUGUCGCUAGUAGUCGCUAUUGGUUCUUUGUUGUCCAGUGUAAUCGCUAGUGGUAAGCAUUCUGUCUCGAUUAGUUUCAUUUGUUUGAGUUGUAUUGUAGUCUUGACUUCUGUUUCCCAGGUUUUGGCGAGAAGACAGCGCCGGCUGUUGUUCCUGCGGCGCCGAGUACUCGGCCACCUAUUGCCGAGAAGAAACGUGUGUGAUUUGCGCCACGCUCAACUCGGUGAGUUUGCUUGUCUGUUCUAUAUCUUUAAACUAUCUUGAAGUCAUGUAAUGACAUGUUUUGAUGCAAAGAUGCAGAGGAAACUAUCACUGUAGAGACAGGGGUAGAGUCGGAUCCCCCGACUACAUUAUCUGCUCCCUUGGAGGAUUUGAUUGUUGAUGAAGUAGCUGAAGUCGACACCGGUCGCCUUGGAGCUACUAUGUCUAUGCUUCAAGACGUCAUCCGUUCGGUGGAAGUUCCUGCCGCCGCGUCGGGUUCGGGAAGUGCUACCUUAUCAAUUGGCGGAUCUCUUGCUGUAGUGGGCGUGAAAAAAUCUAAAGAGGCAACUGCUCUAGAUAUGUCUUUGCAUUCCUGUUAUUGUAGUGGAAGCAGUCAGAUGACUGAUAAUAAAUGUUUUAGGUGCCUCUUUGGGUGCGACUCCUCAUCUUGCGGAGAGUACUCGAAGACCAGUACUUAGCUUGCCAACUGACUCAGAGUUCCAGAGGGCCAUCAAUGUUUUCUGGAGCUUCCAGGUGAAUUUCCUUUGCUUUGUUACAUAGCGAGUAGCUGUGAUGGUUUUAACUGAUCGUAUUGCUUUGCAUACUCGGACCCUUCAGGAACGAAGUCAUCAAUUGGAGCAGGAAUGUGCUCGACUUACAGAAGCCUUGAGGGUGCACGAGGUUGGAGCGAAGUCUUUUGCUGUGGAGUGGUCGUAUCACGAAGUCCUGCAGCAAAAACUGGAGAGUCGCUACAAGUCUGUGAACCAAAAGUAUCAAGGUGAAUACUUUGCAUAUUCUGAGUAUGUCCAAUUCUAGUCGGCUGUGGUUGAACUCGUCUAUUUUGCAGAGCUCAAGAGGCAAGAGGCUGCUGCGAGGAGCCAAGUCCUCGACUGGAGAAAUGCGCACGAUCGAGUGGCGGAUGAAAGCUGAACGUCUUCGAGCCGUGCUGGCAGAAGCACAGGCUGCUUGCGAGCACCAGCGAGAUAGGAAGAUGCAAAAUGGAGUGAUGCUUGCCAUGGCCAUGGUGGCAUGCAGGGAUCAUGCCCAGACCAUGGGAAGACUCCGAGGCAAACUUCAGGAGUUGACUGUAGCAGCUGAAGAUUUGGUGAACGCCAUAGCCCCUGUGGAAGAGUGCGCAGGACCUCAAUCGUUAGUCAAGUGAUUGAAGACUUCCCCGAGUAAAGUGGCGGGACUCUGCAAAGUUGUUUGCAAAUAGGUCCUUGCUGUUGUGAAGUCAUACUACCUGAGGGCGGACUUGGUGGCGGCUGGUGAUGGCGUGGCUCGCAACUGCACAGAAAAAGCAUAUGCGCAAUACCUCGAGAAGGCGGAGCCUAUCGCGUUGAAGAUGUUGGAGUUUGUCUCUCCAGAAGAUCCUUGAGCGUUUUAUGUACCCUUGAAUCUGUCGAGUACUUUGAACAAUAUUUUGACAAAUGAAGGCUUGCCCAUUGUUUUGCUGCUUGAAGUGGUUGUCUUGCCAAGAGUAGUUUUACUCCAUCUCGCCCGACCUAAAGUUGCGGGAUCGGCUAAGCCUACUCUCGAAAGGGGGGAACUCCACCUCGCCCGACCUUGGGACCAGUGGUCGGGUGCGGCCGACCCCUUGAGGGAAAAAACUCCGCCUCGCCUGACCCUAGAUUCCAGGGUUGGUGCGGCCGACCCCUUGAGGGAAAAAAAACUCCACCUCGCCCGACCCUGAGUCCCAGGGCCGGGUGCGUCCGACCCCUGAACAGAGGGUUGGAUCCUUCCAAGCCCCCGAGACAAUGCAGGCCGUGCUUGGCUAGAGUAGUUCUGAGUUUCGAGUUGUCACGAUGCUGUCGGGUACUCUGCUUUUGAGGGUGCACCGGUGUACCGUACUCAUUGUCUUUUGUGGAUGCACGGGUGUACUGUACUCUUUUAUCCUUUGUAGCAUAAGUGCCUUCACGUGGGCAGAGUCAGAAGUCGUCAGACUCAUUGAUCACGGGCGCAUAGUAACUCUUGGGUAGGUGGUAGUUGUAGCUCUCGGCUAUAAAUAGAUCCUUCUGGAGGUCGACCCAAAUCAAGUUUCUGAGUAGCAAUGGAUUGCCUUCGGUUGCUGUUGUUUGAGUGUAGAGAGCCAUCAAAGAGUGCACUGGUGCUAGAAGAUUCCUCGUAGAUUGAGGCCACCUUCCCUCCACAGACUCCUGCGCUCGUAGGGAUAGCCGUGAUGCUAGAAGAAUUCUCGUAGGAGGUUUCAUCGCGAUCCUCAUCUUGCAGCUCGUGAUCCAAUGGAGUACAUGCUGGAACUCACGAGUGAUAGGUGAUGAGUGCCGCGGUCUUUAUCCCACUCUCUUAGAGGUGGAGGUGUGGCCGUAGAGUGGGUUGGCUCCGCAAGGCUAGCAAAAGAGCAGCCUUGGUUCCCUCUAGGUGCGGCGCGCGGGAUUCAUCAUUGCCGCUAUCAAGGCACUGGCGAUGCAGGAGUUCCUGGCAUUGCCUUGGGUAGAGGACCUGGAUAUGGCUACGUUUUGCGUAGCUUCCUUGCGUGUAGGCCCUUCCCAUUGUAGUCGAUAGACCUGAGUGGCCUUGUGAUAUAGUAAAACCUUAGGCUUAAAUGCAGCCUGCAAGGAGGCAGUUGCUUGUAGUCCUUGUGUAUUUCGAGUACUCCUACUCGUAUGUAACUUGAUGAUGUACCUUCGGUUCUGAGUAAAGAAUUAUUUUAUGGAAACUUUGUACUAGGGCAGUGAUUCUUGUUGAGUUGAUAAUUCUUGAAUCAAGACUAAUGUAUCUUGAAGUCGGUAGUCGAGCUGUUAGCUCGAGUAGUCAUCAUGAGUUGUUGCCUUGAAGCGAUUACUCGGGUGCUACUAUGGGUAAUAAUGACAAAGGUGUUCUAUAUUCCAAGAGUUUGGUACUUGUUCUCCUGAAAGCUCUUGGAGUCUGUAAGAUCCAGGUCCUAUAACCUUUGAUACGAUGUAAGGACCCUCCCAUGGUGAAUUGAGUUUAUGCAACCCUGUUGUAUCUUGGAUACGCUUGAGGACCAUAUCGCCCAAGGUGAAAGGUCUUUCCUUGAUGUUACGGUCGUGGUAAUGCCUUAAACCGUCAAGGUAUAUGGCAGAUUGCACUAGUGCUGCGCAUCUUGUUUCUUCUAGGCUGUCUAUAUCUGUUCUCCUUUUUUCUUCUGCCAAUUCUUCGUCAUAUUGUUCAACUGAAGGUGAUUGCCACAUGAUGUUGGCGGGUAGUAUGGCUUCCUAGCCAUAUACGAGGAAAUAGGGCGAGAGCCCAGUAGUCUUGCAUGGUUGGGUACGUAGGCCCCACAGAGCAUUGGGUAACUCUUUGAGCCAUUUGCCGCCUUUGGUGUUGCCAACAACGUGUAGUCUUUUCUUCAGGGCGUCGAGUAUCAUGCCAUUAGCAUGCUCGACUUGUCCAUUGGCUCGCAGGUGAGCGACCGAGACAUAGCAGACGUCGAUGCCGCUAUUCUCGCAGUAUUUCAAAAGUCGUGAUUGUUGAAGUUUGACCCUAGGUCUGUGAUAAUUCUGUUGGGAAAGCCAUAGCGGUGUAUGAUUUCAUCUAAGAAGUCGAGGACCCGGUCUGCCUUGGGGCAAGUGACUGGUUUGACCUCGAUCCACUUGGUGAAUUUGUCGAUUGCCACGAGUACUCGGUUGAAUCGUCCUGGUGCAAUUGGUAAUGGCCCUAUCAUGUCAAGCCCCCAGCAGGCAAACGGCCAUGUUGGAGGUAUCGUGACUAUCUUGUAGGCUGGUACAUGCUGUUGUUUGGUAAAGAAUUGACAACCUUUGCACUUCUGAACUAGUUGUUUAGCAUCGGCUAGAGCCAUUGGCCAGUAGAAGCCUGCUCUGAAAGCCUUGCCAACUAUUAUCCACGAAGAGGCGUGGUUGCCACAGAUUCCUUUGUGAAUUUCCUCUAAGAUUUCUUGACUAUCUUCCCGGGUAACGCACUUCAUGAGUACCCCGGAUGAUGCACCUUUCCUGUAGAGCUUGUCUCCGACUAGAACGUAAUUUUUUACUCGCCGGGAGAUUUGUUCAGCCUUAUUUUUGUCGGAUGGUAACUGGUUAUCUUUGAUGUACUCGAUGAAGGGUGUCCUCCAGUCGACUUCUAUCAUCAUGAUUUCACGAGAGACGUCAGCAUUCUGGAUCGCUGGCGAUGUCACUUGUUCCGGUAUGGACAGCUUGCGCAGUUCGUGUAUGAAAAUUCCUGCUGGAACCUCUGCACGAGUUGAGCCCAUUUUGGAUAAGACGUCGGCGGCAACGUUGUUGUCGCGGACGAUGUGAUGAAAUUCCAAGCCUGCGAACUUGUUUUCCAGUUUACAGACUUCUUUGCAGUAAGCGUCCAUGUUGUCCUUAUUUCAGUCCCACUCGUCAUUGACCUGGUUUAUAACGACUAGUGAGUCGCUGUACACCAGUAGUCUUUUGAUGCCGAGGGAGAUUGCAAGGUGAAGGCCAUGUAACAGUGCUUCGUACUUGGCUUCGUUGUUAGAUGCUUCGCAGAAGAUUUGCAGUACAUAUUUGAGCUGGUCUCCCUUGGGGGAGAUGAGUAAUACACCUGCACCGCCCCCUUCAAGCUUGAGGGACCCGCGAAGUACAUUACCCAGUGUUCUGGCCGUUCGACUGAUGUUGGUACUUGAUUUUCAGUCCAUUGAGCUACGAAGUCGACCAAAGCUUGGGAUUUGAUAGUUGUCCUUGGCUUGAAGUCCAAGGUGAGAGCUCCGAGUUCAACUGCCAUUUGGAGAUUCAACCCGUGGCGUCUUUGUUGUGAAGAAUUUUGCUGAGCGGGAAGUCAGAGAUGAGUGUAAUGUUGUGCUCCUAGAAAUAAUGGUGCAAUUUCCGGGAGGUGAGCAGGAUUGCGUAUAAGAGCUUUUGUAUCGGUGAUACCGAGUUUUGGAGUCCGAGAGUACUUCGCUCAUGAAGUAGACAGGUCGUUGGACCUUGUAAGCGUGGCUCAGUUUAGACCGUUCGACUACUAUUGUCGUGCUGACGACAUGAGUAAUAGCUGAUAUGUAUAGGAGCAAGUCUUCGUUUGGAGACGGAGUGAUGAGUACAUGAGGCUUUGACAGAAAGUCUUUGAGUUGUGUUAGUGCCUUGUCUGCCUCUUUUGUCCAUUUGAACUUGUCCUGGCGUUUGAGAACCUUAAAGAAGGGUAGUCCUCAUUCUCCGAGUCUCGAGAUGAACCGGUUGAGGGUGCCAUGCAGCCUGUGAGUUUCUGCACAUCCUUGAUGCUAGCUGGUGCUUGCAUGUUUGUGAUGGCAGAUUUUUUUUCCGGGUUGGCCUCGAUGCCGUGAUGGCUAAUGAUGAACCCGAGUAUCUUGCUAGAAGGUACUCCGAAGAUGCACUUAGUAGGAUUGAGUUUCCAUCGGAAAGCUCGUAGACUAGAGAAAGUUUCCUCCAGAUCAUCGAUGAGUUCCUCCUGGUUUCUUGUUUUGAUGACUAUGUCAUCGACAUAAGCUUCAACAUUGCGGUGAAGUUGCUUUUCGAAGCACAUCUGUAUGGCUCGUUGAUAAGUUGCCCCUACAUUUUUUAGUUUGAAGGACAUUGUUUUGUAGCAGAAUCCUCCGAAAGGUGUGAUGAAAGCUGUUUUGGCUUGAUCUUCUUCCUUGAGGCUGAUCUAAUGAUAGCCGGAGUAGCAGUCGAGAAAAUAUAGUAAAGCGCAUCCAGCGGUGGAGUCGACCACCUGAUCGAUCCUGGGGAGUCUGAAAGGGUCUUUUGGAUAGUGCUUGUUGAGGUCGGUGUAGUCGACGCACAUCCUCCACUCGUUGUUUUUCUUACACAUCAGUACGGGAUUUGCUAGCCAGUCAGGGUGAAAGACUUCUAUGAUGAACCCUGCCGCGAGUAGCUUGGCCAACUCUUUCUUGAUUGCUUCUCGUCUGUCUUGAGCGAAUCUGCGAAGUCGCUGCCAUUUUGGGGUAGCUUUGGGAUCAACAUUUAGAGAGUGCUCGAUCAGCUCGUUGGGCACACCUGGCAUGUCAGCCGGUUUCCAGGCGAAGAUAUCGUGGUUAGCCUGAAGGAAACUGACGAGCGCGGAUUCCUAUUUAGGGUCUAGCCCUGUUCCGAUUAGGGCUAUCUUGGAAGGGUCGCCCGUCUGGAGGUCGACUGGUUUGAAGUCUUACUCGCUGGCGGGUUUCACCUUUGUAGACCCCGACUUGUUUUCUGGGAUCUCUAGUUCAGUUGGAUGGAGCUUCUUUGAAGCUGUGAAGACUUGUUGCAUGGGACUAGGUGCUUGAGAAGUCGCAGCAAUUUCCACAGCUUCAGUGUCGCAUUCGUAGGAUCGCCGUAGAUCUCCUCGUAGCGUUAGUUCUCCCUUGGGGCCUGGUAUUUUGAGUAUUAAGUAAACAUAAUGUGGUAUGGUCAUGAACUUGGCAAGCGCUGGCCUUCCGAGUAUGGCGUGGUAAGAUGUCUCGAAGUCGGCGACUUCAAAUCUGAUGUACUCGGUACGGUAGUGUUCUUUAGUUCCAAAGGUAACUGGAAGGAUGACUUGUCCUAGUGGUAUAGCUGCAUUUCCGGGAAUGAUAACGUAGAAAGGUGAAUUUGUUGGAGUAAGCAUUUUAGUGAUGUCGAGGCCCAUCUUCCUCAAUAUCUUGGUGAAAAUAACAUUGAGUCCACUUCCGCCGUCGAUGAGUAAUUUGGUUAACUUUGAGACUGCCACAACCGGAUCGAGUAUUAGGGGGAAACGGCCUGGUUCUGAGAACUUGGUCCAUUGGUCCUUUCUGCUGAAGGAAAUGGGCACCUCUGACCAUUUUAGCAGUGUUGGAUCCGUUGGUUCAAUGGCCAUGAUCUCCCUGAGUACGAGUUUGUUGGCUCGCUUGGAUGCGGUGCUUGGAAUACUGCCAAAGAUGACGUUGACAGUUUUUGGGGCGGUCUGGAAGUCGCCCUCUUCGUCUUCGUCGCUGUGGGCUUUGUUCUUGCCCUUAUCUUUUUUUUGGUGUACUCUUCAGGGGGUGGUGGUGCGGGUAAGUCUUGCAUUACUCGGCGCAUGCUGUAGCAGUCUAUUGUCGAGUGCUUGCUAGUCGGGUGCCAUGGACACUGUUUUUUGAGUAGUUCGGUGAAGGUUGCCCCUUCAUCGUUUUUGCGAGAUCCCUUUUUCCCGGAGUUGGUCAUGGCAGCAACAGUGUUGUCGGGCUUCCUUUUGCAGUUGUGAAUACUCGAAUAGUUGUUUCGAGUAUCAUUGUGUCGAGUUCUAUCUUGGUUAUUGUUGUUGCCACGUCCGCGGUUGCGGUGGGAGCCGAACCGUUCUUACUCUUUGUCUUCUUCAUCUGCCCACUGCUGCACCAUGACUUUGAGGUCUUUGACAUUAGCUGGCCGUCGGCGACCAAAGUCUUGGUAUAUCCGUCGAUCGUAGAGUCCAUUCUGGAAGCACUCGAUGACGUCUAUUUCUGAGAUGUCAACUAUGGUUGCCUUCUUUUUGAAGAAUCAACGCAGGUAGUCACGUAAGGUCUCGCCUUCUUUUUGCUUAAUUUGACUUAAGUCAAUGUUGUUGCCUGGUCUAGCCAUGGAGCCGGCGAAGUUGUUGGUGAAAGCCUUUGUCAAGUCUGCCCAAGAGUCAAUGGACUUGGGUUUGAGUGACUCAAGCCAGGUCAGUGGUGCGGGUUCGAUGCACAUGGGGAAGUGGAUGACUUUGGUGUCGUUAUUGCCCCCGGCUGCUUGGACUACUAGCGAGUAGCAUCGUAGCCAUUGAAUUGGGUCUUGUUUGCCAUCAUACUUGGUGAUUCCAGUCGGCUUAAACUUAUCGGGUAGUUUUGUCUUCAUUACCCGAUUUGUGAAAGUAGGAAAAUUGUUGUAGUUGUCGACUUCUCGCUCGCGUCGACUAUUGAGGAUUUCUCGUAGAUCACUGAAGUUUGACACUUCGUGGUUUUUCCGAGUAGGGCGAAUACUUUUAACCGAGUUGGUGCAGCUAGCCUCUCCAACAUCCUUAUGGCGUGCUGGGGCCUUGUGUUUGCUUGGGCCUUGGCUGUGCUGCCGGGGCUGGUUGACGACUUCGUUGUCGUUCCUUGGAACGUUGUUGUUGGCUAUAGCUCCUCUGCUGCCUUCUUGGCAAGCCGUGAUGCGAGGAACAGACGGAAUUGGUGAUUCUUUGUCAAGUAGCUUGUAGGCUUGCUCCGUGAGUUGUGCGAUUAGUCCGUUGCCGCGCUGCACGAGUUGAGUUGUGGCCUCGUUAUCCUUGUCUUGAGGCAUCAACGUCGUUAAGAGAUUGAUUGAGGUGAUUGCCGCGAGUGGAGUAUUGUGCUCUUGAGCCUGAACUGUGUCGAAAGCCCUUUCAAGGUUUGUGAUGGGAAUAUUUGCAGCCAUCGACUGCUAUCACUCGGCUCGAGUAGCGUUGCGCAUCCUCCUUUGGUUCCGUUGCUCGGAGGUUUCAUUGUGAGGAGCGUUAGCUGUAGACUCAUCUUCAGAGAUGUUGUCGAGUUGUGCUAAUCGCCUGGGGUUCUGUUCUGGCUAGUACCCGGGUUAUUAUUUUGAGUAAUAACAAGUACUUCCCUGUCCGAGUAGUAGCUUCCGGAGCUUGAUGUUGCAAUCUCUGUGGAGCUUUCCUCGUGAUUGGAAUUGAGUGGAACACCCUCUUGAUAUGGGAGAUUAUCUAUAUGGGCGACAAGACGCGAGUCGUAGUCGCGGUCAAGAAGAGGUGGUCUCAAACCUGGCCAAUGUACGAAUCUGCCUUGUGACGUUGAAGUUAUUACCAAUCCUUGGGCUGGACCAGAUAAUGGUAUCUCUGGUGGAUAAACCGAGUCGGAAUCGUCGUCUUCGGCGUGCCUGAGUUCGAGCUGAAUUCGAGUAAGAAAAUCCUGGUAGACUUCGGCUGUAUUGCGGAGUCCGUGUGGAAACCGUUUUGGAGUCGAAGCCGAGUUGGGAAGUGACUAAGACCAAAUGGUCCGAAGUGAAGUCGAGUCCGACGCGUAGUCGAACUCGAAGUCGUCGACUUCGAAAUCUUUGUUUUUCCCGACCAGAUCUUUUGCUUUCUUCUCCUGAGCGUUGAUGAUCUGGCGUCGGAACGAACCCGAGCCAUCGGCGAUGCAGAGCCAGGAUCCGAAAAUGAAGGUGGCGCUCGCUUCGAUGAAGAAAACGGGCUUGAUGAUGACCAUUGCCAUUGAGUUCAAGCUGAGAAACUCAACGAGCUCCCCUACCUGGCGCGUUAGCUGUCGGUGUUUUAGACCGGCAGCCCGCCUAGGGGAUACCCUAGGUGGUCUUUUGUGCGGUAAGGACCGUCGAGAAUCAAGGAAUCAAUGGUGACGCAAGGAACACGAUUUAGAUAGGUUCGGGCCGCUAGAUCGCGUAAUACCCUACGUCCUGUAUGUUGGUUUGUAUUGAUCUUGGAUGAACUGAAGUUGUUCUUUUUUGAGGGGGGGUCCCUACCCGCCCUUAUAUGCUCGGGAGGGUAGGGUUACAAGUCUGAGUCCUAGUCAAGUACUAUUACAGAGUUCUACUCGGUAUGGCCCGAGUAGUUUUCCAUACACAUACUUGACUAGUCCGAGUGGGAUACACCUAUCCCUUGUCCUGAUUGUAUCCGAGUACGCCCCUUAGUGGGCCGUCCAAGGUCUACUCGUGGGCCUGGGGUGCAUGCCCGACAACGACAGGGUUGCAUAAACUCAAUUCACCAUGGGAAUGUCCCUACAUCAUAUCCAAGGUCACAGGACCUGGAUCUUACCGACUACAAGAACUUUCAGGAGAACAAGUACCAAACUCUUGGAAUAUAGAACAUCUCUGUUGCUACUACCCGUAGUAGGCAAAGGAACUUGAGUUUUUGCUUCAAGCAGAAACUCAUUUCAACUACUCGAGCCGACAGCUCGACUACCGACUACAAGAUGUACUACUCUUAACACAAGACUAGCAACUCAACAGGCAUUCCAGCCUUGGUACAAAGCCUCAAGGGCAAAGCAAUUUUUUACUCGAGCCUGACUCAAGUAGAAAAUCUUAAAGUUACAUAUGAGUAAGAGUACUCAAUAACAUCAUAGCAAAAGACUACAAGCAAUUGCCUACUGGCGGUCUACAUUUAAGCCUCAGGCUUUUACAAUAUCACAAGGCCACUCAGGUCUACCGACUACAAAGGGAAGGGCCCGCACGCAAGGAAGCUACGCAAAAUGCAGCCAUAUCCAGGUCCUCCUCCCAAGGCAGCAACAGGAACUCCUGCAUCGCCGCUACCUCGAGAGCGGCAACGAUGAAUCCCGCGUGCUGCGUAAAGGAAACAAGGCUGCUCUUUUGCUAGCCUUGUCGAGCCAUCCCACACUGUGGCCACACCUCCACCUCUAAGAGAGCGGGAUAAAGACCGCGACACUCAUCACCCAUCACCCGCGAGUUCCAGCACGUACCCAGCUGGAUCACGAGCUGCAAGAUGAGGCGCGCGAUGAAACCUCCUACAAGAAUUCUUCUAGCAUCGCAGCUAUCCCUACGAGUGCUAGAGUCUGUGGAGGGAAGGUGGCUCUAACCUACAAGGAAUCUUCUAGCACCGGUGUACUCUUUGAAGGCUCUCUACACUCAAACAGCAGCAACCCAAGGCAAUUCAUCGCUACUUAAAGCCUGAUCCGGAUCGACCUCCAUGGCGGUCUAUUUAUAACCAAGCGCUACAACCACCAACCACCCAGGAGUUACUAUUCGCUCGUGAACAAUGAGUCUGGAUGACCUCUGACUCUACCCACGUGAAAUCAUUCACGCCACAAAAGACAAAAGAGUACAGUACACCCGUGCACCCCCCCAUCAAAGAGUAAAUAGCAGAGUACUCGACAACCGCGCGACUACUCAAACUCAGCACUCGGAAUUGCUCCAUACAACAAGGGACGGACAAGUACCCACUUUCAAACAAAAACAUUGUUUCAAAUACCCGAAAGCUUACAAGAGUACAAAGCAUAAGGCUCCUCCAACGAUACAAAUUCUAACAUCUUCACCGCAAUUGGCUCAGCCUCCUCGAGGUAUUGUGCAUAGGCUUCUUCCAUGCAGUUGCGAGCAACGCCGUCACCAGCUGCCGUCAAAUCUGCUCGCGGGUAAUACGACUUGACCACUGCAAGGACUUGUUUACAUACAGCCUUGCAGAGGCCAGCAACUUUGCCCGGAGCAGCUUUCAAGCGCUCGACCAAUGAACAAGGUCCUACGUCCUCCUCAAGGGGAGCAAUGGCAUUCAUCAAGUCCUGAGAAGCAUCAGUUAAUUCUUGAAGCUCGCCUCGAAGUCUUCCUAUGGUCUGGCCAUGAUCCCUAUAGGCUACCAUGGCCAUGGCAAGCAUCACUCCAUUGUGGUUCUUCCUAUCCCUCUGAUGCUCGCAGGCAGCCUGCGCUUCAGCCAGCGAAGCCCGAAGUCGAUUAGCCUCAUUAGCUACUUGGUCAUGCGCGUUCCUCCAAUCAAGGAGCUGGCUACUCGCAACAACCUCCUUUCUCUUGAGCUCUGCAACAAAACGACCAAUUUCAAAAAACCGACUACAGUUGGACAUACUCAGAUAAUGGAAAGUACUCACCUUGAUACUUUUAAUUCAAAGACUUAUAGGGGCUCUCCAGUUUUUCUUGCAAAACUUCGUGAUCCGACCGCUCAACGGCGAAAGACUUCGCAGCAUCUUCAUGAACUCUCAAGGAUUCUGUAAGCCGGGCACACUCCUGCUCCAAUUGUUCAUUUCGUUCUGAAAGGGCCCGAGCAUUCCUUCGAGUCCUAUCAUAUAGAUCCUGCAAAUGAAAGCAAAUGGUCAAGUUUUCAGCAAAAAACAGUCAGACAAAAGAAACACCAUACCUGAAAGCUCUGCAUAGUUCUCUGAAACUCCGACUCCGACGGAAGCCCGAGCACUGAACCUUGAUCACUCUUUACAACAUGAGGCUCUGGAGCUGUACCCAAGGCUGUACCUGAAAUGACCUACAUUAGUCAACGCAAUACAACGACUACAACACCAAUAUCUCAACUACAUACCUGGCUCAGUCGCCUCUUUGGCCUUAGCCACAUCAACCAAAGCAAGAACACCGCCAGUAGACAUCGAGGAGGGUACACCACCAGAACCUGAAGCAACCGCAGGAUCCUCCACCGAGCGGAUCACUUCUUGAAGCAUGGACAUGGUGGCUCCAAGACGACUAGUAUCAACUUCGGAUACAUCAUCAAUAGACACAUCAUCCAAGGGAGCAAAAAGAGUAGUCGAGCGACAAGACUCUACUCCUGCCUCCACAGGGAUAGUGUCCUCCGCAUCCCUACAUCAACAUACAAAGUCAUCACACGACUUUUCAGAAAGCUCGAAGAUACAAACCAAGAAUAAAAAAAUCACCGAGUUGAUCGUGGCGGCAAUCGCACACGUUUCUUCUCAGCAACAGGCGGCCGAGUACUCGGCACCGCAGGAGCAGCUGAAGGUGCAGUUUUCUCGCUAAGUCCUGCAAAAACAGGGUCAAGACUACAAUAAACUUAGACUAACAAAAAUAGUUGGGGAUAAAGCUCACUACUAGCGAUCACAUUGGAUAAUAAAAAGCCAGCAGCAAUUACUGGCGAUCCUCCCUUCGCAACAUCCGCCACUCCAGCAGGCAAACCCAGAACUGCCUGGUUAGGGACUGGCAACGCGGUAGCCGACGGAGCCUGGACUGUUAACUCGGGGGCUACUCCAGCAUCCGCUGGCGGCACCACCCCUAGCACUUCUUCAACAGACGCAACAUCUACAUCCUUGGCGGUUGUGACUACCUCAUUAGAAGUAGCCUCAUCGCCACCAAGGGUCACGUCGACAACCUUUUCAGACAAAUAAAGAGAUCAAGAGGCUACAGGAUAAAUUCUACAAGUUACCAAUGAAUACAUGACUACAUACCUUGGUACUCUGUGACUUCUCAGGAGUCAAACUCGAAGUCGAGGUAGACUUAGCAGCAAACCUCUUGCGAACCACUCGGCAUUUCUUCGCAGGAGGAGAAGGCUCAUCUUCCGACUAUUCAACAACUGACUUCUUUGUCGGAAUGCACCAGAUAGCUGGAGAGAACCCGGGACUACAAAACACAAACAAUGUUCCAAUAUCUCGAAAAGUACAAGUCAAAUAAAAAACAUACCUUUGAUGACCCAUACCAAGCAUCAAAUUGGCGAAGAGUUGAAGGAAUAACGGGUACUCCUUGAUAGUUCCUGAAGAACUUGGUCAGCAGCACCUCCACAUCAUCGUCAGAUAUAUCCUCAGGAGACAUACGCGACGGAUCAUCAAAUUUCGAGUACUCCCCACCCGAUUGAGCCCGCUACUGCAGAGGUUGAACUCUCCUCUUAAGAAAGCUGGCUGCCACAUUAAUUCCAGUCAAGCCUAGUGCCUUCAACUCGGCAAUCUGGGUCAGCAAGUUGUCGAGCUCUGGGGUAUCUUCAGGCUCGCUCACCCAGCUCUCCGCAUGUUUGGGGGCGUGACCAGUGACUACCGGCAAGCGAGGGCUAUGGUUCCCAAUGUAAAACCACUUCCUUUUCCACUCACCAUGAGAAUCCGUCAAGUUAUAAUCAAGAUAAGCGCCCAAGUUCCUAAGUUGGAACCCAGCGCCUCCAAAAACCUCUGUCCUAAUAGCACUAGAUUGAGGCUUGCAACGGAACAAUUUUCUAAAUAGCUCAAGGCUAGGAGGAACGCCCAGGUAAACCUCACACAGGUGUACAAAAAUGGACAUAUGAAGCACACCAUUGGGGUUCAAGUGAACCAGCUAAAGUUUACAGUACUCGAGGAUACCUCUGAAGAAGUCAGAUAUGGGCACAGCUAGUCCCCUCUCCACAAAGUGUGCGAGCAUGACUCUCUCGUUCGGAUGCUUCUCGAACUGCCACGCAUUAGCAAAGGCAGGCCUCCACUCGAGUACCUCCUUCGGCUGUAGAAGCUUGGCAUCAACAAGCACCUAAACGGCCGCCUCCUUCAUCACAGAAUUCUGCCACGUAAUUCCAGGCGGUGGCGGCACAGUCUGGUUUGUUGGACCAACCUUCGGCGUCGGCAACACCAGCUCCUUUCCCUUCUUCGAUUUCACCUUAACCGCCGCCGGAGCCUUGCCCUAAGUUUUCUUGAGUUUCUUCCCUAUCUUUUUGGUGCGCAUCAGACGAUAUCAGCCGCAGUAGGGACUUUGUUUGUGUCCAGGCUCGCAUCUCUAGCACGUACUAGCCUAGGACCAACACAAUAACGUCGUUGAGCAUUUGUUCAAUUUGCUUGAAACUAACGUGGUUCUAGUACUUCCUUGCUUUAGCCCACCUAGAGCUCCACAUAUUCGACUACAGCUUGACAGGCUUUUGUUGCUGCAGCAUCGAUACACUUCACUCCACAGUUGCAGACUUGUUGGUUGCCGUCACCUCCUGUUUGGCUUGGUAAGAACUUGUAAGGGCUUGUUUUUACAAGUUGAGUUUGAGAGAAUUACAACCAACACAUCAUAGUAGUUGACAGGAGGAUACAUAUUAUUUUUAUGUUUCUUGUUUCCUACUAACCAUGGCAGGUGAUACGGAGAUUUUGGAGCUGAUGAAACUAGACUCUCAUAUUCAGGGUGUUAUUCAACACUUGCCGUUAUAUGAUGGUAAGUUUGAUCCUAAAGCUUACAUUGAUUGGGAGAUAAAAGUAGAUAAUGAAUUUGAUGAGCAUGACCUGUCCGAGAAACAAAAGAUUUAUAUUGCCUCUAAUAUUUUGACUGAAUUUGCCUUGCUACAAUGGAAACACAUUUGUAGGUGUAAGAAACUUCUAGAAUCUUGGGAAGACUUUAAAUUUCUUUUUAGAGAUGCAUUCAUUCCUGAAUAUUAUGCUGAUUAUUUGCUUGCUAAAUUAGACAACUUGAGGCAAGGUAGUAGGACUGUGAAAGAAUACUUCCAUGAUUUUAAAAUUUGUAUCAUGUAUGGUGGAUUAGAUGAAUGCAUGGAAGAUGUGAUGAGUAGGUUCAUGAGAGGGCUCAAUUCUGAAAUUCGAACUUUGUUAAUUAGCAAAUCAUGCAUGCAUCUUGCUCAAUUCUAUUGUCUUGCUCUCAAUGCUGAAAAGGAGAUUCUAUUAUCUGUGAAUACUUGCAAUAAUGAUGUGACCCAUAAUGUCCAAAAUUUGUCCACCUUGCAUGCUAAUGACGAGCAACAACUAGUGGAACCCACUGUUGAUUUUCCUUUGUCACAAAAUGAAUUACUUGCUGUUCCUUGUGAUAAAGAAGACAUGUGUGAUGAUGAUUCUUUUGCUCCUAUGCCACAAGUAAUAAAUAAGUGUGAUACUUUUCAUUUGGAAACAUAUAAAUGUGCUGAAGCAAAGCUUUUUCAUCCUAUUAGUUGUGCACAAAAUGAACUGAAUUUGCUAUCCUCUUUAAAUACUUUGGGUUAUAUUGAAUUCGAUGUUCUGUGUAAUCUAAGUUGUCUAAAAGAGAGACUUAAAUUUGAUUCUAGUUUGCCAAGCUUUAAUCAUUUUUCGCUUCAUCCAAUUGGCAAAUACGACAGCAAAGGAGAAUAUUUGGUGCAUAAAGUUUAUUUUUGCUCUAAUAUGAAAUAUCCUUUUGGGCACCAAUACCAAGAUCAAAUAGAGGGCUGCACUAACACUAAUAAUGUCUUGCAAAGCUUUUCUAGUUUUUCUCAUAUGCAACAGGGUAAGGCCAAAGAAGGGGAGCAUUACUGGUUGUGGCCAUGCAGCAUGGCCGUCGCUCUGUGCUCCAACAUCAAAACAAGCACCUUAGAAUGCCAUUGGAGCAAGUUGAGGACGACUUGCAGCCAAGAAGGGGAGAAUGAUGAGGACAUCAUAUGCUUGGAUACAACCAUAUUGGCAUCUUUUGACUCCAAGGUGAAACAAUUCUUUAUCAUAAUUAUAUGUGACACAUUUGAUGAAUUGAUGCUGCACCAUGAUGUGUAUUCGUUGUCAAUUUCAGAAAUACGUACAUGGAUCAAAAAUAGUGUUAAACACACAUGGAAGGCAUGGAGGACCAAAGAAGUAGAUUAGGAGCCAAGUCCAAGUAUUCCUAACGUCCUCCACCAGGCCACCACGUCACUUUUGGCCCAAGGAAAGAAAGAGUUCCAAUCCAAUACGUUUUGGGGCUGGAUUCGGACUGCAGCUUUGUGUCAACUUGCAACGGCCGCCACAACCUCAUCCGGACUCCGUUUUAGGUGUUCAAGUACUCCUUGAAAUCCUUAUGAAGUCUAUUUUCAUAUGGAUCUAGAAUCAUAUCCAUAUAUUCUCUGAGUCGGCCGCAAUGAUCGAAAUACUACUGAGGUUUUCUAUCCAGAGGUGCCGCAUCGCCUUAUUUUGGCCCAAUGGGCCGUGUAUCAAGUUGGGUCCAUUAGGAACAUGUCCUAGGGUUGGAGCACGACCCCAACACCCCCUGGUCGUCCUCCUAGGUAUUAGUAAGGAUUAGAGCCGCCACGAACAGAUUGGGUUUUGUUUUGAUGUAAGUUUAGCCAUUGCUACUUCCUUGUAGACGCGUGUGUCGACUAGACCAUCCGUUCUACUCGAUUCAGAACCCCAACUUUGUGAGUUCAGAUUGGUUUCCAUCUCUAUAUUUACAAUUGAGUUGCUUGUUAUACUUGUUCUUGCUUGUUCUUCGAUUGCUUGCAGGACGAGUGCCCUAGUGGCCGGGUGACGCGCUCCACAAGAUCGCGGCAGCCAUUGGAGGUGGUGUAUUGGUUGCUAAGGCACAGCUUGGAAGGCUGUAGUCGGGCCAUGAACGUCGUCUCCAUCCACCAAUCGAGUUAUCCCACGCCUCUCAUCGAAAGAUCGGGAAUCAACCCUAGCGGGUGCAUAUCACAACGGCUACUCAAAUCAACGGGCUUUGACCACUUCAUUGACAAAAAUCGCCUAAGUGCUCGGGGGCUGUGGGUACCGUACCCGAUGGACAAAGUUUUCUUUUUCAGACUACCAGACGAAAACAACCAAAGAACAGAUUUGACCCUAAGCCUGUGUUUUCAACUCAAACUAAGGCUUGGGG